AGUCAUGGUGGCAUAUACCAAUUCCAGCACUCCGGAAGCAGAGACAAGUGGACCUCUGUGAUUUCAAGGCCAGCCUGGUCUGCAAAGUGAGUCCAGAACAACCAGGGCUAUACAGAGAAACCCUGUCACAGGGCAAGGGUGUGGGUUUGGGGGCAGUCUGUUUUAGCACUGUUUUAGUCUGUUUAGACUGGCAGUAGUGGUACAUGCUUUUAAUCCCAGUACUAGCGAGGCAGAGGCAGGCAGAUGCCUGAAUUCUAGGCCAGUUCCAAGACAGCCAGGGCUAAACAGAGAAACCCUGCCAUGAAAAACCAAAAAAGUUUAUUUUAUGUUAUGGACUUCCUAAAGCUGCAGAUACGGCUGUGUGAGAAUGCUCUGUUCAUCAAGGUAUGCUUAGCCUUGGAUGGGGAACAGUAGGGUGAAGCCUGAGAUAGAGUUAGCUAAAAAAAACUAGGACAAAAUGAAGUCAUUUGGGCAGUUCCCAUUUAGCCUAGCAGUUUUUAUAACAAAUUAAAGUUAGCAAAAGAAUGUGUGCAAGUUCAUAUAAGUAAUAAAAACAUUUAAACUGUCA
rnacentral:lncRNA from 1 species